AAUUUUAGGUUUUCUGGCUCGUGAAUUAUGGGUCGUCUAUGUAGACUGACCCAAUCUGAUUCAAUGUAUUUCUAGAAAAUAAGAUAAACGUGAUUUUAAAAAGGUGUGAAAACAAUUACUUGAUAACCGUUCAACCGCAACAAAUGAUCCCUUUUUAAAAGUAGUGUUUUUCCUCUGUUUCAAAGAUACAAAGACAGAAACAACAAGAGGAAAAAUGCGAAAAGAAAAAAAAAUCUCUUUCUUCGUAUUAACAUCAACUCAAGAUAGACACUUUGUUUGUGAGCCAAAUUUUGUUUCCUAGUGGUUCGAAGAGGGAAUUUGGAGCAAUCGGUUUUAGUAGCAAAAUCAACAACUUCCACUGCAAAUAUAAGUGCAUACAGGUUAUAAUUCAUGAAUUCUACCUUUUUGAAAAAAUUUAGAAAAGGGCCGGUGUGACAAUUGAUGAUUUAUUGAAAGCUGCAACAAAUUUCUAACUUGCUGAUCAUUUUAUGAUGCAGAUACAGGUAAUAGAGGUCCUUAACAAGCGCAUCGUUGGAGACUAAAACUCCUCCAGCUUUUGUUGAGGCCUGCUUGCAUCCAGAGGACUUCAUUUAUAGUUCUAUCAUCCAUUCUUUUUAAUAAUCAAUUGAGGUAGCCGUGGAAUUGUCUUGGCACCUUCUUAUGAGUCAGUUAGAGGCUUCAUGGACAAAGUAGAGUCGAGUAGAAAGAUUUCUUCAAAGUCUGUUUUUCAACCAUAAUUUCAUUAUUGUGUUUAUAACAUUGAGAUACAUUAUACUUUGAGUAUUUUUCAAUCUA